AGGUAAGUGGCGAAACUUGGUAAACGCAUCAUACUCAAAAUAUGACAACAUUGUUCUGAGGGUUCGAAUCCCUUCUUACCUA
rnacentral:tRNA from 1 species